rnacentral:tRNA from 1 species
GGAAUUGUGGCUCAGCGGUAGAGCACUCACCUAGCAUGUGCAAGGCCCUGGGUUCAAUCCUCAGCACCA